rnacentral:rRNA from 1 species
UACAGAGGUCUCAAGCGUUGUUCGGAUUCAUUGGGCGUAAAGGGUGCGUAGGCGGCGCGGUAAGUCGGGUGUGAAAUCUCGGAGCUUAACUCCGAAACUGCAUUCGAUACUGCCGUGCUUGAGGACUGGAGAGGAGUCUGGAAUUCCUGGUGUAGCGGUGAAAUGCGCAGAUAUCAGGAGGAACACCGGUGGCGAAGGCGGGACUCUGGGCCGAUACUGACGCUGGAGGAGCGAAAGCGUGGGGAGCAAACAGG